ACACCUUGAGAGGAGUAUACAUACAUCAUCAUUCUGUCACAUGCAAUAGAUAUGAGCAUGAUGGGACAUGCUUUUGGAAGUAAGGAGAACCCAAAACUUGGAAAGACUAAAUGAUUUUGGUAUGAUCAGAUGGUUUUUGGAAUGGCCGAUCAGACUCUCUUAAUAUAUUCUUCCUCAUAUUUCAUCUGUAACACUUGACUUCUCAUGAGACUGAACUCUUGAAGUUCAUAAGUCUUGGAGCAAUACUUUUACUCAUUGCUGGCUUUAUCUAUCCAUACACUCAAGUUUUAGUAAAUAUUAAUUUUUACUAAGCCCCAUGUUUUAGUCUACUCUCUGUUGCUAUAAGAAAACACCUGAUGUUGAAUAAUUGUUAAGAAAUAUAGGUCUGUCUGAUUCACUGCUUGGAGCCUCUCAGUAUUGGGGGAAGACAAUGUUAUAUCAUAUGAUGGCAGAGGAUAAUAUAUAACAAAAGAUAGCAAGCACUUAGCUUGUGUCAGACUUCUUUUUACACAUCAACUGAUGGGAGCCAAACAUGAUGGCUUAUGCCUGUGAUCUUAGUACUAAGGGAACUGAGGCAGGAGCAUUGUCUUGAGUUUGAGGUUAGCUUGGGCAGCCUAGUGAGUUCCAGGCCAGGCUACUGAGCAAGACCCUGUCUUUAAAUAAACAAGUAAGCCAUUAAUGACAUCAUAGGGUCUUGCUCUCUUGACCUCAUAUAGUUUUAAUUAUCUCCCUCAAAGUCUUAUCAUAAAAAUAUGUGAAUUUAAGGCUUGACCAUCCAACACGUGAAUUUUGAAAGGACAUGGUUGAGCCUUGUGACACCCUGUGUGUAUUGCACUGUGUUGACAGACAAUGGAGAUGCAGGAUGAAGUAAACAAGGAGCUUAUUGCACCAGCAAUGAAAAUCCAGUGUGAAGAGUAUAACAAAGACCAGGAAUGCCCAAUGAGGCACAGCAAAAGAGAGAGUUGACUCUACAGACAAAGCCAGGAAAGUGUCCUGAGAAAACGUUAGUUGAAAUAUGAAGGUGGUCAGUUCAUUCUCUAGAAAAAGGCCCAAGAUCUAAAAAAAUUUUAAUACUAUUAAUAUCAAAUACAGGUGAAAAUUUAGGAUCAUAAACCUCUAGCAUUGUAUUUACUGUAUGUGUUCUCACAAUAAAUUAGCUGUGAUUUUACUGGCCCACAAUGCUAUUAAUUUCUUCCAUUCGACCUUAUUAAGAUACAGGCUUUGAUCUUUUAAAACUUACAUAUAUAUUUCAUAAAGCCUAAGAUAAAUCAGUAAAAACUGAUAACUAAAAAAUAGUUCAAAGUUCUUCUCAACAGACUUUCAGUUGAUAAACAGUAUGAGAGCAACCAGACUCUGCCCCUAGGAAACCAUAGCAAUUGCAGCUCCAAGCAAGCUCCACUGCGGAGUGACACACUUGCUGAAUGAAGGUUCGAGAAGGCCAAGUAUUUGCAUAACCUCAAAGGGUCUACUCGCAAAUACAUCCACACUGUAAAAGCUAAAUGCUAACACAGGAGUGGCGAAGCCCAGCAGGUUUCAUUGUAAGUGACCAAGCUCAUUGCCAACUCCAAAAGGAUGUUCUGAAAACAUCUAUCUCCUAAAGCGUAGUUGCAAUGGGCUUAUUAUUUCUGAGCACACUUUUUUUAAGGGCUGUGUAGUUAUCUAAAGGGUCAAAGCCACAAAAGAUAAAGGAAGGGAAGAGAAUCAUCCUGGUCUACUGAUGAAGGGAUUUACAAUCCCAAGUUCAGUCUGAAUCAGAGAAUGGACAAUGUGGAGUUGAAAGGGGAC
rnacentral:lncRNA from 1 species